GACGGAGGGGGCUAGCGUUGUUCGGAAUUACUGGGCGUAAAGCGCGCGUAGGCGGCGCAUUAAGUCAGAGGUGAAAGCCCGGGGCUCAACCCCGGAAUUGCCUUUGAGACUGGUGUGCUUGAGUACGGAAGAGGUGAGUGGAAUUCCCAGUGAUAGAGGUGAAAUUCGUAGAUAUUGGGAAGAACACCAGUGGGCGAAAGGCGGCCUCACUGGGUCCGGUAACUGACGCCUGAGGUGACCGAAAGCGUGGGGGAGCAAAACAGGAUUGAGAUACCCCCGGUAGUCC
rnacentral:rRNA from 1 species